GUUUACCACAUCAGCUACUACUUUCUGGGCAUGUAGUAGAGUAAUUUAUGCAGUAUUUAAUUUAAUCUCUGAGUCAAUACUCUGAGGGGGAUUUUUUUUUCUCUCAUAAAGCAGGAAACCUAGCUUCUGAGAGGUGGCUUACACGGAUAGUAAAUGCAGGCGGAGGCAGCAUCAGGACUGUAUCGCGUCUUCAGAGCAUAGGCUUUCUGGCUUUCCUGGACUUGCAGUGACUCAGCGUUCACACGGUGGAGACAAUAUUUGCAAAACCCUGAUGACCUUGUUUAAAGAUGAAAAGGGAUAUUGGAAUGUGUUCUGGAAGGUUGCUAGCGAUUUGUAUGAUGGCAGAAAAGCCCCACACUUUCUCAGCUUCUGGAAGACGUGUUAGCAGGAAAGGAACUAUCUGCACCAGCAUAUCCAUGGCAAGAGCUGUUCAUACCCUCGGACUCUUACUAAGUGAGGGCUGAUCUGCUGAGCAUUUGCCUUGGGAUUGAACGUUGGAUUGUGUUUCUCAUGACAUUUACCAGGUUAAAUCUGUAGCUCAUUUUUAUUGCAUUUUAGAAUAAACCCAAACUUUUAUCAACAAAGUUUUAUAAGUUUAGAAAGAAUUUUCAUUUUUGCAAGAAAAAUAUUAGCAUUCUACCUUAGAGUGUUACUGUGAGGUUAAAU
rnacentral:lncRNA from 1 species